GAGAAUAUUGUAUAUGAUCAGCUAUAUGAAAUGUAUCUCUUUAUCUUAUUAUUAAGGACAUGUCUAAGUGACUUUUCACCUAGUAACUUGUGUGCAGCUACUAACCGCUUCCUGUCUUCAGAGAACAGAGAAGUGAAGACUCAGCUCUAUUAGAAGAACAUGCAAAUGUAGUGAAGGGGAAAAACCCGCGGCUCUAAAUGACGUUGUUACCUUUGUACACACACAUACACACACACACACACUCACACAGAAAAGUAUAAAUAAAGGACGCGGACAGUCAAUAGACGCAGAUCCUGUGUACGUGACUGCCCCUCGCAAGGAAAAACUUCUGCAGUGUUUGUGUGUUUUCUAAACUCAGGAGUCUUGGCUAAAGAAAGAACGGCAGGGUGAUUUAAAGAAAUCCCCUGUCAUUUAAAUUGGUCCUUCGAACCUAGAGAUGGAAACAGCAGACUCGUUUCUGUGACUCCAAUAAGGUCUGACUUCUGCAUCCUGACGCCGUGGGUAAACCAGCACCGAAGUCUGUCGACAGCCCUCUCCAGGUAGAGGUGAAAGACCUGGGACGUAAGACAAAUUCGGGUCCAGGCCGGUGUAAUAGUACUGGUCCACGACGUUGGGAUCCAGAUGACCUGAACAACCAGCAAAAGACGACUGAGGGUGAGAAAACACUUUUUGGUUUUAAACCGCCGGAAGGGUUUAGAAGAGAAGCGCAUAGGUCUUAUCCGCCGCAAGGAUUAAUAGCGCAUUAGGCUGACCCACUGCACGGGUGCACAAAAGAGAAGCGCAUAGGUCUUAUCCGCCGCAAGGAUUAAUAGCGCAUUAGGCUGACCCACUGCACGGGUGCACAAAAGAGAAGCGCAUAGGUCUUAUCCGCCGCAAGGAUUAAUAGCGCAUUAGGCUGACCCACUGCACGGGUGCACAAAAGAAAAGCGCAUAGGUCUAACCCGCCGCAAGGGUCUAAAUAGGUCUAACCCGCCGCAAGGGUCUGAAGAAAAAACACGUGAAAUAGGUUGAGUUCGCCGGAAGGAACUAAAUUUAGGCUGGUUUUAGAGGUAGCCGGAAUUACCUCGUAAUAAAUUAUAUUUAGACUGGUUUCAGAAGUAGCCGGAAUUACUUCGUGACAAAUUAGCGCGCAAAUGUCUAUUUGUGUGUAUGUAUAUGUGUGUAUGUGUUUGGAAGUAAGUUGAUUUUACAGCACAAUAAGCUGCUGAACUACUUCCAUUGUUUGUUUUUAUUGUUUUCUUUGUGUAUCCUGCAAAAGCUCAAGUACUGGUGAUAAAGGGGAAAGGUAGAAGGGCGUGUCAGCAACCACCCCCGAGUUUAGUACCAGAGAAAGCUUUGCAGUUCUGUGAUAAUGGGGAAUCAGCCCACAAAACUCACUGUUGACGAACAGUGGUUAGAGA